UACGGGAGGCAGCAGUGGGGAAUAUUGCACAAUGGGCGCAAGCCUGAUGCAGCCAUGCCGCGUGUAUGAAGAAGGCCUUCGGGUUGUAAAGUACUUUCAGUCGUGAGGAAGGUGUUAAGGUUAAUAACCUUAGCAAUUGACGUUAGCGACAGAAGAAGCACCGGCUAACUCCGUGCCAGCAGCCGCGGUAAUACGGAGGGUGCGAGCGUUAAUCGGAAUUACUGGGCGUAAAGGGCACGCAGGCGGUUAAUUAAGUUGGAUGUGAAAUCCCCGGGCUUAACCUGGGAAUGGCAUUCAAGACUGGUUAGCUAGAGUCUUGUAGAGGGGGUAGAAUUCCAUGUGUAGCGGUGAAAUACGUAGAGAUGUGGAGGAAUACCGGUGGCGAAGGCGGCCCCUGGACAAAGACUGACGCUCAUGUGCGAAAGCGUGGGGAGCAAACAGGGAUUAGAUACC
rnacentral:rRNA from 1 species